rnacentral:rRNA from 1 species
GAACCGUCCAAACGUUAUUCGGAAUCACUGGGCUUAAAGGGUUUGUAGGCGGCGCUGUUAGUCGGGUGUGAAAGCCCUCGGCUCAACCGAGGAAUUGCGCCCGAUACUGCAGUGCUCGAGGGAGACAGAGGUAAGCGGAACUGAUGGUGGAGCGGUGAAAUGCGUUGAUAUCAUCAGGAACACCGGUGGCGAAAGCGGCUUACUGGGUCUCUUCUGACGCUGAGAAACGAAAGCUAGGGUAGCGAAGGGGAUUAGAUACCCCCGUAGUCCUAGCUGUAAACGUUGAGCACUUGAUCGUGGACCCCCCCAUAGGUUCUCGGUCGUAGCGAAAGUGUUAAGUGCUCCGCCUGGGGAGUAUGGUCGCAAGGCUGAA